GAUGAACGCUGGCGGCGUGCCUAAUACAUGCAAGUCGAGCGAACAGACGAGGAGCUUGCUCCUCUGACGUUAGCGGCGGACGGGUGAGUAACACGUGGAUAACCUACCUAUAAGACUGGGAUCACUUCGGGAAACCGGAGCUAAUACCGGAUAAUCUAUUGAACCGCAUGGUUCAAUAGUGAAAGACGGUUUUGCUGUCACUUAUAGAUGGAUCUGCGCCGCAUUAGCUAGUUGGUAAGGUAACGGCUUACCAAGGCAACGAUGCGUAGCCGACCUGAGAGGGUGAUCGGCCACACUGGAACUGGGACACGGUCCAGACUCCUACGGGAGGCAGCAGUAGGGAAUCUUCCGCAAUGGGCGAAAGCCUGACGGAGCAACGCCGCGUGAGUGAUGAAGGUCUUCGGAUCGUAAAACUCUGUUAUUAGGGAAGAACAAAUGUGUAAGUAACUAUGCACGUCUUGACGGUACCUAAUCAGAAAGCCACGGCUAACUACGUG
rnacentral:rRNA from 1 species